CAGCCAAUGUGACAACCAAGUGACUGCUUGGUGGCUAACAGGCAGAUAGGGCAUAUCACGGAUGUCCCGGUGUCUAGUGGAUCUACUGGACUAAAGGACAGCUCACAUCCUAGGCAAACUGGAGUGAGAUAAUGCAAGAUUUCAUCACCCAACUCAGAAUGCUCCCAUGAGCAGGGCAAAUUUCCUCCUGUAUGUCCUUCUACCAUGAUGCUCUGUUGCAUCUCAGACCAGAGUGAGGAAGUCAGCUGACCUUGGACCAAAACUCUGAAAACGUGACGCAUGAUUAAACUGUAUGAUGGGAAAGACGGCAUACUCAGAUCUUCUUGACUGAUAAUUGGUAGAAUCAAACCUGGAACAUCAGAAUUUUUAAGUCCAAGUUGAAGUCCUUUAUUGAUUAGUGUGGACAUUGAGAGAGAAAGAAGACAGAAAGAAAGCCUGAAAUAGUUUUCAGAAGACUCUGGAAAAGAGAUGAUACUCAAGUCCAGCAAAGAGUCCUGGAAAGCUCCAUCCAUGAUAGGAUUCAUGGAGCCUAUUGAUUCAUAGAUGAGCUAGUAGUACAAUCCCAGAGUUAAUGUUCACCAGGAAACAGUUUUGCCAAUGGAAAGCAAGAGGUAAUAAAGAUGUCAAUAGAUAAAUUCCUUUUUUCUGUUUUGCUGUCCUACCUUUGAAAGCUAUCCUGAUGUGCAGCAGUUCUAUAUGGCUUCUCUGUAGAGAAGCAAUCAGCUAGGUCUUAUGCAGAAGCUAUAGCUAACUUGUCAAUGCAUACCUUAUAAUGGCUUUCCCUUGAAAAAAAUUUUGUUCGUGUAUUUCUAGAACACCAAACUCUCCUUGAUUUUCUUAUCCUGUUUAAUCACUCUUCUCAGUCUCCUUCAGAACCUCUUAAUAUUGAAAUUACUAGGUCUCAAUUUUUGCACACUUUGUCCUCUAGGCUUGAUAGUUUGGGUGUGUUGAUUUUCCUCCUUCUGGUGAAUAGCAAAUGUACUUCUUCAGUGCAGGCCUAUUUUCUAGACUUUAGACUUGCUCAUUAAACCAACUGCUGAACAGUAUCUCCUCCUGAGUGUCCAAUCAGCAUCCCAAACAUAACAUGGCUGAAAUCAAACCCUUAGUUUUCUCCACGUACACCAAACAGACAAGAAACAAAACAA